rnacentral:rRNA from 1 species
UACAGAGGGUGCGAGCGUUAAUCGGAAUUACUGGGCGUAAAGCGCGCGUAGGCGGCUUUGCAAGUCGGGUGUGAAAUCCCCAGGCUUAACCUGGGAACUGCAUUCGAGACUGCAUUGCUAGAGUAUGGGAGAGGGAAGUGGAAUUUCAGGUGUAGCGGUGAAAUGCGUAGAUAUCUGAAGGAACAUCAGUGGCGAAAGCGACUUCCUGGACCAACACUGACGCUGAGUGAGCGAAAGCCAGGGGAGCAAACGGG